rnacentral:tRNA from 1 species
AGUUAUUAAUCUAAGAAGAUAUUAUGUCUUGAAAACAUAUAAAAGAGGUUUAAUUCCCCUAAUAACUU